CUGGCUCAGGAUGAACGCUGGCGGCGUGCUUAACACAUGCAAGUCGAACGAAGCAACGUACCUUGCUUGCAAGAGAGUUGACUUAGUGGCGGACGGGUGAGUAACGCGUGGGUAACCUGCCUCAUACAGGGGGAUAACAGUUGGAAACGACUGCUAAGACCGCAUAACCCGCUAGUGUCGCAUGACACGGACGGAAAAUAUUUAUAGGUAUGAGAUGGGCCCGCGUCUGAUUAGCUAGUUGGUAAGGUAACGGCUUACCAAGGCGACGAUCAGUAGCCGACUUGAGAGAGUGAUCGGCCACAUUGGGACUGAGACACGGCCCAAACUCCUACGGGAGGCAGCAGUGGGGAAUAUUGGACAAUGGGGGAAACCCUGAUCCAGCCGACGCCGCGUGAGUGAAGAAGUAUUUCGGUAUGUAAAGCUCUAUCAGCAGGGAAGAUAAUGACAGUACCUGACUAAGAAGCCCCGGCUAACUACGUGCCAGCCGCCGC
rnacentral:rRNA from 1 species